UACGUAGGGGGCGAGCGUUGUCCGGAUUUAUUGGGCGUAAAGCGCUCGCAGGCGGCUCGAUGCGUCGUGCGUGAAAGACCCCGGCUCAACUGGGGGGCGUCGUGCGAUACGGUCGGGCUGGAGGCCAGUAGGGGGAUGCGGAAUUCCGGGUGUAGUGGUGGAAUGCGUAGAGAUCCGGAGGAACACCAGCGGCGAAGGCGGCAUCCUGGACUGGACCUGAUGCUCAGGAGCGAAAGCGUGGGGAGCGAUCCGG
rnacentral:rRNA from 1 species